UAUAUUGCGAAUUUGAUCCUAGUUUAGAAUUAACGCUAGAAAUAUACAUUACACAUGCAAAUUUAUGAUAAUAUCAUAGUGUAUAGGUGAGUAUAUAUAAAUUUUUAAUUUUAAAUAGAUUAUAAAUUUUUAUAAUAAUCUAUAUGCGCAUUUAUUUUUAUAAAAAAAUAAUAGUACUAUAUUAAAAAUUAUUAUUGUUUAAAAUAAAAUUUAUAUUUGAUUAACUAGUUGGUAUAAUAAAAAUUUACCAAGGUUAUAAUCAAAAAUUGAUUUUAAAGAAUGUACAAUCACAUUAGGAUUGAAAUAAAGCCUAAAUUUUUUUAUAAAAAAUCAGCAGUGAGGAAUAUUUUACAAUAAGUGUAAGCUUGAUAAAGUAAUAUUUCUUAAAGGAAGACAGUAUUUUAAAAAUAUUGUAAACUUUAUAUUUUAUUUUUAAAUAUUGAUAAAAAUAAAANNNNNNNNNNAAAAGCUUACCAAGGUUAUGAUCAAAAAUUGGUUUUAAAGAACGUACAAUCACAUUAGGAUUGAAAUAAAGCCUAAAUUUUUUUUUAAAAAAUCAGCAGUGAGGAAUAUUUUACAAUAAGCGUAAGCUUGAUAAAGUAAUAUUUCUUAAAGGAUGACAGUAUAUUUUUAUAUUGUAAACUUUAUAUUUUAUUUUUAAAUAUUGAUAAAAAUAAAAUAUUAGUAUUUGCUAAUUUCUGUGCCAGCAGCAGCGGUAAUACAGAAAAUACAAGCGUUAUUCACUUUAUUUGGCGUAAAGCGUUUUAAGGUUUUAUAUUAAUUUUAUUUUAAAAUAUUUAAUUUAAAUUUAAAUAAUAAAUAAAUAAUAAUAUAAUAAGAGUAUUAUAAAAGUAUUAAGAAUUUUUUGAGAAGUGGUGAAAUGCAAUGAUACAAAAAAGAAUACCAAAGGCGAAAGCAUAAUACUAUAUAAUAACUGACACUUAUAAACGAAAGCUAAGGUAGCAAAUAGGAUUAGAUACCCUAGUAGUCUUAGCUGUAAACUAUGAAUAUUUUAUAUUUAUAUAAAUAUAUAAAUAUAAUAACUAACGUAAUAAAUAUUCCGCCUGAGUAGUAUAUUCGCAAGAACGAAAUUCAAAGGAAUUGACGGGAGCUUAUACAAGUGGUGGAACAUGUGGCUUAAUUCGAUGCAACACGAUAAACCUUACCAAAAUUUAACAAUAUUUUUAGUAUUAAGUAAUUAAUAAUUUAAUAAAAUAUAUAGGUAGUGCAUGGCUGUCGUCAGUUCGUGCUGUGAAGUAUUAAUUUAAGUAUUAUAACGAACGUAACCUUUUAUAAAAUAAUUUUUUAUAAUAUAUUUAUUAUUAAUAUAUAAAAAAGAUUACGUCAAGUCAUUAUGCUCCUUAUAUUUUGGGCUGCUCACGUGUUACAUAAAAUAUAACAAUAUUUUAUUAUAUGAAAAUAUAAUAUAUUUAAAUAUAUUUAUAGUUCUAAUUAUAAAUUGAAACUCAUUUAUAUGAAGAUGGAAUCACUAGUAAUCGCUAAUAAGAAAUAUAGCGGUGAAUAAGUUCUUAAGCUUUGUACACACCGCCCGUCACAUCUGGAAAAUAUUAUAUUAUAUAAAAAUUAUUGUUAAAUAAUCAUAUAUAAUUAUAUAAUUUAGAUGAAGUCGUAACAAGGUAGCCGUACUGGAAGGUGCGGCUGGAUAAUAAUAUAA
rfam:Plasmodium ovale curtisi genome assembly, contig: contig2188